CUACCUUUAGAUGAAUAAAGCACAGCAUUCGAAUGGCAUUGCUAGUGGACUAUGGUCGCGUUUUUCAGCAUCUCUCCUGUAGCGGUCUUCUCUUUUCUUUAGGAAGGUGCCAUCUCUGAAAAAUGGAAACAUUUUGAUUUUACAUUGACAUUUUGACAUUGUCAUAUAUUUUUUUCUUGUCACGAAUAAAAUUUAUUACCGGUCUUAGCAUCAAAACCUUGCGUAACCUCAAGGAUGACACAUUGCCGUAAUUUCCAUGGCGUUUAAGGUCAUCCGCAAUGUUUUCUUUAUUACGGCCUUCAAGUCUACAAGGGAAUAAAAAAAUCCGUCACGCCGUGGAUAAACGGGCCUUGAACUGAAUACCUGAUAGUUAAGAGGAACAAUUGCCCACUGCUGUAACGGAGGUCGCCAUUAUGCCAGGAAUGCUCCAUGCAUCACGUUCAUGGCAUAUUUCUCUUUUGGCAUGCCAAAAAUUUUUUGGGUGGGUUUCUUUGGUGAUCACUGUCCCCUGUUUUCAACUGAAACAUUUUCAAGGAUUUCCGCAAAAUGUGUCCAUAUACCAAACGAGGCUUUACAGGAACAAGCUGCAACGAUAAACGUCUGUUUCCUAAAAGAAAAAAAAAAAAAUCAAAAGUAAUUUGACGGUUAAACUGGGUAUGAUGUCGACGCAAAAAAAAUUGAAAAAAAGUAACUAAUUGCGGAACUUGAUGUCAUUUCAAAAGCCAAUAACAUUUUGUAACGUAUUGACAACAUGGUAAUAACAUACGUCCAAUGCUGUUUACGUAAGUAGACCAUAACUAAAUAUCUGAUUACAGCUGAAGCGCGAUCCCAAAUCUGAUGACUAAUCCUUUUUAACUAUUAAAUAAAGAAGCCGAAGGACGCAAAUUAUAUACAUAUUAAUCAUGGGGUAACCAAAAUCGUUUCACGUCCACACU